CCAGGGGUUAGGGCAGCAUAACUAUGUUGCUCAGGAAGGGGGGGGUUUCACACCCCUGAAUGAUGUAGCUGGGUCGACCUUAUUUUUUGGGGUAGAUCAGGGCUGAGCUAGCAUGCUAACCACAGCAGUGUAGCCACAACAACAUGGAUCUCAGAGAGGGCUGUGCUCUGGCGGUUAGCUCGUGCUGCCGGCCACUUCCUAAAAAUAUUGCUCUAGCUCAAUCAGAGCUAGCACAUGUACACACCUCCCCGAGCUGGAGCUGACACCUUCGCUGCAGGGUAGACAUCCCCUCGGCCAUAUCCAUGAGAAGCUGGUACCUGGGUGUAAGCGAGAGCGGCCAUCUCGGUCUAGCAUCUUACUAUAUCUGUGACUAGAGGAAAUAAAAGAUGCUCCAGAAGCAUCAAUAGCUUCAGCAGCCCAGGAUAGGUGCUCUUUCGUACUGUUUAUUUUUUUUUCCCCAGAAAGUGACUGUGAAGGUCACUACAGGAUUUUGAAUUUAUUGGGCAUUAUUUAGGGAUUAAAGAAAGAAGCAAUCAAAAUCCCUGGGACAGGCUGCACCCCUUGUGACUGGGGCUUCCAUGGACUAGAAGAACAGAAGCCCUUUAUCCUUUAGAUAGGUCCGGUUUCAUUGUGUUGUGUGGUGAGAGCUGCGAAGUGGCUUGGGGGCAAGUAACAGAGUUCACUACUCUUUCUUGCUCUCUGCUACUUCGUUGUAAUGGCAUGUAUUCCUCAGACUAUGGGAUCUUUAAUGUGGCUGGCAGGGAUCACCGCUGGAUCUUGAAGAACAUUGGCAGACCAGAGAUCUGGAGGGAGCCCGAGACCACCACAGCCAGACACUCUGCCCAACCAACCCAGAGUGCUCUCAGCAAUGUUGCUUAUGUGACUGAAGUGAACACAGCAGCUGAGGGACGUGCACUAAGGAUCACUGCAUAGCUGGAAUUCUUCUAGGAGUAGAGUCAAGUCAAGUAUUGGUCAGUUAUUAGGCAUUAGUUCUACAGCUUGAUUUUGUAUAUGAAAAGGAAGCUUCUCCUUCAUCUCAUCACCCCAAGAGAGGUUGCACACAAUGGGCUUUGAUUUACCCCCAUGGCAUAGAUGUUGCAGUGAUCAUUGAACCCAAGGGGUGGGGGACUCAUGUCUGGGCAGGAAGGAGGGUGGCUGCGGAGGGAAGGACAAUUUUAAUCUCUGUCUGGGGUCUCCAUAGGAACCACACUGGAGGAGGUGGCCUAGGAAAAAAGCUGAAUCUGUCCAUCUCCUGGAUGGUAGUGUCCAGUCCCUUGAGACUCGAUCCACUCCAGGUAGACUGUCAACCUCCGGGGGCAUGGAGAUUGCGUUGCACUAGAAGAACACGGUGGAACAUAGGCAAUGAAUCUAGGACAAUAUACUAGGCCUCUCACCGUGAGGAAUAUACCAGAGCUCCUCACUUGAGGGCCCAAGUGUGUAACCAAGAGAAGAAUUAUUUAUCCCCCCAUUCUUUGGAUGUAAUCGUUUUCUUCUCCUUAGACUAGUUUUGUGGCCUAGAGAUUUACCCCGGAGGAAACAGCUAUGUUUGAGGAUUUUGUUUUGUGUGUCGAUACUUCUUUUAUCAAGAUACAUAGAACAAUAAGCUGCCCUCAAUCCAUCUACUCCGCUUUCCCAGGCAUCACUGGGCAUUGCACCAUGGACCGAGGGCAGCAGCUGGACCUCAGCUCGUGUGGGAAACCAGUACUGACAGAUUAUACAGUCUCCUCAAUAAACUUCGACUACAGCAGUGAAGCAGCCUUUCCCUGAGUCCACAGAGCAGGCCAUAGGAGACGACCAGACGGAAGAAGAAUAGUAAGACCCAGAGAUCUGGAUUUCAUUAUCUGUCAAGUGACAGCUGAGUAGCCACGCUUUCCUCUGGUUAAUGCUAAAGGGAAGAGAAAUAUGCUUGCAGCGGUGUUUGCUCGACAUGUGACUGUGGCAUGAACAAAGAGGAACAAAACAGGAACCGCCCAAGAAAAGACCAGGCCAUAAAUUAAAAAGAGAGCAAAGACAAUGCUUCCAAGGGUUUUAACAAACCAACAGCAACUUCCCCUUGGCUCAGGGAAAACCACGAAGGAAGGAAACACACCAGACUGGGGAAGGAGUGAUGCCAAACUCAGCAGCAAGGAUUGGAAUAAACCUGGGCCUGAUGUGAGAAGAGUCGUUACCAUGGAGAGCUCUCUAGCACCCACCUCGCAGAGACAGUACAAAUGUCCUGAGUGCAGGAAAAGGUUCAGGAAGACUCCCCUGGAAAGCCACGAGGGAGAGAGGCCGUUGGUGUGUAGUGACUGCAGGAAAGGAUUCAUCGAGAAGAUGCCCAUCUGGGGCCUUGGCUGGACAGUGAAGGUUAAGAGACCUUACACCUCCUUGCAGUGAGGGAGGUGCUUCAGCCAGAAGAUCAUUCUGGUCACCUACCAGAAGAUCCACUCCUGGGCAGGGCCCUAUAUCUGCACUGACUGUGGGAAGAGCGUCAUCACCAACAGGAGCGUGCCACACACAGGAGGAGGUACACGGGCAAGCAGCUGUUAGUCCGCGCCCAGUAUGGGAAGAGCUUCACCUGGAAUGAGAACUUCACGAUACACCAGAGGAGCCACACAGGCCAGAGGCCCUACGGCUGCAGGAAGCACUUUGUGCACAAAAAGACCCUUCAGACACAUCAGCUGAUCCAGCUUCAGGAUACUCCUCCAUAGAUGCAGCAGCCAGUGUGGGAAGUGGUUUGUUAAGGUCUCCCUAGCCAUGCCCCAGAGGAUAGAUCAGGACGAACAGCCCUACAUGUGCCCCAGAUAAAGCGAAAGCUUCCUGCGUAAAAAAAACCCUCAAGGUGCACCAGGGACUGCCAUGGGAGACAAGCCACACCAGCACCCCAGCCGGCUCUUACGCCACUGCCGAGAAUCCACAUAAAAGAGCUGGAUGCACAUGACGGACAGGAAGUAAGCCUCGGUGUGGUGAGGGGUACAGUGCUCGAGAGCGCUCAGCUUAGUGAGGGUGAGUCCCACAGCACUGAGAACAACUUCAGUCCCAUCAUAGCGAGAAUCCACCCAGCAGGAGGCUCCUACAUAUGCACUGAGCAUGGGGAACGGUUCCAGACUGCUGAAAACCUCGCAGCCCACCAGACAGCUCACCCAGCCAGGAGGCCACAUGAGAACAGGGACUGUGGAGCCACUCGGGUCAACGGGUAGCUCAGCCAAUAAGUGGUGCACUGGGGAAAAUCACUGGCCGAGAACGGGGAAGGGCUGGCUCUCAGAGGAAGUCGUUAGACCUGGAAGAAAGCCCAGAUGGGGAAGAGGGUGUACAUAUGCACCAGCAUGGGGAGAAGUUCACCUCACCAGACAUGCACUGACCCACAGGCAGGACAGGCCCCACGAAGGCAGCGCCUGCAGCGAAGGCUUCGUUGAGAGGUCGCGGCUCGUGAUACACCAGCAGAGCCACACUGCCGAGACACCCAAUUGGUGCAACGUGUGAGAGAAGAGCUUCAACCAGAAAAUGAACAUCACCCCAGCGCAGCGGUGCCCAGGAGAGGCCUUUUGCCUGUCUUCAGUGUGGGAGGGGCUCACAGAAGGGCUGCAUGGGCGAACUGCCACCCCCGGCUGCCGAGUAAAGGAAGAGCUUCAGUUAGGAGAUGACUGGAGGCUCCAUACUAGGGCAGAGGCUGUUCAUACGCACAGACCCCUUGGGGAGUCUAAAGACACCCAGCAGCCCAACAGAGGGGCAAGGCCUCACAUAGGUCUGGCGUGUGGGAGAAGAGUCACUCAGAAAUCGAGCUUCAACAGGCACCUAGAGUGCAAUAUCAAGUGGUGAUGACAAAGAUCAUUGCCGUUCUUUCUGAUGUCCUGCAGAGCCUGGUUGCUCUGGUGAGAUCCCUCCCAGGGGGUUAGGAUGCGUUGUAGCAGAGAUCUCUGCAACGGACAUCCCCCCUUUGGGCUCUCAUCAAAGCAGCAAGUUACUCAGUGUAAAAUUGCACUGUGUCGUGAUUUCCAUUGCAUAUGAACCAGAUAACCCAGACCCAGCACAGAA